CCAGAGAACUUAGCAGAGAUGUCUUUGGUGCCGUUCGGGAACUCUGAGACAGGUGCUGCAUGGCUGUCGUCAGCUCGUGUUGUGAAAUGUUGGGUUAAGCCCGCAACGAGCGCAACCCCUAUCCUUUGUUGCCAGCGAUUCGGUCGGGAACUCAAAGGAGACUGCCGGUGAUAAACCGGAGGAAGGUGGGGAUGACGUCAAGUCAUCAUGGCCCUUACGAGUAGGGCUACACACGUGCUACAAUGGCGCAUACAAAGAGAAGCGACCUCGCGAGAGCAAGCGGACCUCAUAAAGUGCGUCGUAGUCCGGAUUGGAGUCUGCAACUCGACUCCAUGAAGUCGGAAUCGCUAGUAAUCGUAGAUCAGAAUGCUACGGUGAAUACGUUCCCGGGCCUUGUACACACCGCCCGUCACACCAUGGGAGUGGGUUGCAAAAGAAGUAGAUAGCUUAACCUUCGGGAGGGCGUUUACCACUUUGUGAUUCAUGACUGGGGUGAAGUCGUAACAAGGUAGGCGUAGCGAG
rnacentral:rRNA from 1 species